GACGAACGCUGGCGGCGUGCUUAACACAUGCAAGUCGAACGGAAAGGCCCUGCUUUUGUGGGGUGCUCGAGUGGCGAACGGGUGAGUAACACGUGAGUAACCUGCCCUUGACUUUGGGAUAACUUCAGGAAACUGGGGCUAAUACCGGAUAGGAGCCCCUGCUGCAUGGUGGGGGUUGGAAAGUUUCGGCGGUAGGGGAUGGACUCGCGGCUUAUCAGCUUGCUGGUGGGGUAGUGGCUUACCAAGGCUUUGGCGGGUAGCCGGCCUGAGAGGGUGACCGGCCACAUUGGGACUGAGAUACGGCCCAGACUGCAACGGGAGGCAGCAGUGGGGAAUAUUGCACAGUGGGCGGAAGCCUGAUGCGGCAACGCCGCGUGCGGGAUGACGGCCUUCGGGUUGUAAACCGCUUUCGCCUGUGACGAAGCGUGAGUGACGGUAAUGGGUAAAGAAGCACCGGCUAACUACGUG
rnacentral:rRNA from 1 species